rnacentral:rRNA from 1 species
AAAGGACGCGUAGGCGGAUUAUCAAGUCUCUUGUGAAAUCUAACGGCUUANCCGUUAAACUGCUUGGGAAACUGAUAAUCUAGAGUAAGGGAGAGGCAGAUGGAAUUCUUGGUGUAGGGGUAAAAUCCGUAGAUAUCAAGAAGAAUACCUAUUGCGAAGGCGAUCUGCUGGAACUUAACUGACGCUAAUGCGUGAAAGCGUGGGGAGCAAACAGGAUUAGAUACCCUGGUAGUNCACGCCCUAAACGAUGUAUACCGGUUGUUGCUGUGCUAGUCACGGCAGUAAUCCACCUAACGGAUUAAGUAUACCGCCUGGGGAGUACGGUCGCAAGAUUAAAACUCAAAGGAAUAGACGGGGACCCGCACAUGCGGUGGAGCAUGUGGUUUAAUUCGAAGAUACGCGAAGAACCUUACCCGGACUUGAUAUCUAACAAAUCAUCCAGAGAUGGAAGAGUGUCUGCUUGCAGAAAUGUUAAGACAGGUGCUGCACGGCUGUCGUCAGCUCGUGUCGUGAGAUGUUGGGUUAAGUCCCGCAACGAGCGCAACCCACGUCAUUAGUUGCUAACGGUUCGACCGAGCACUCUAAUGAGACUGCCUUCGUAAGGAGGAGGAAGGUGUGGACGACGUCAAGUCAUCAUGGCCCUUAUGUCCGGGGCGACACACGUGCUACAAUGGCAUAUACAAUAAGACGCAAUAUCGCGAGAUGGAGCAAAUCUAAAAAAUAUGUCCCAGUUCGGAUUGGAGUCUGCAACUCGACUCCAUGAAGCCGGAAUCGCUAGUAAUCGUAGAUCAGCCAUGCUACGGUGAAUACGUUCCCGGGUCUUGUACUCACCGCCCGUCACACCAUGGGAGUUGAUUUCACUCGAAGCGGGAAUGCGAAAUUCGCUACCCUCCACAGNG